rnacentral:rRNA from 1 species
GCCGUCCGAGUUGUAAUCUAGAGAAGUGUUUUCCGCGCUGGGCCGUGUCCAAGUCCUUUGGAACAAGGCGUCAUAGAGGGUGAGAAUCCCGUCUAAGACACGGAUGAUCAGUGCUUUGUGAUACACUCUCAACGAGUCGAGUUGUUUGGGAAUGCAGCUCAAAAUGGGUGGUAAAUUCCAUCUAAAGCUAAAUACAGGCGAAAGACCGAUAGCGAACAAGUACCGUGAGGGAAAGAUGAAAAGCACUUUGGAAAGAGAGUUAAACAGUACGUGAAAUUGUUGAAAGGGAAACGCUUGAAGUCAGUCGCGUCUUCAGAAACUCAGCCUGGCUCUUGCCUGGUGUACUUUUCUGUUGGACGGGCCAGCAUCAGUUUUGGCCGCCAGAGAAAGGUGAGAGGAAGGUGGCACCUCCGGGUGUGUUAUAGCCUCUCACCGUAUGUGGUGGUUGGGACUGAGGACCGCAGCACGCCUUUAUGGCCGGGGUUCGCCCACGUAACGUGCUUAGGAUGCUGGCGUAAUGGCUUUAAACGACCCGUCUUGAAACACGGACCAAGGAGUCUAACAUGCCUGCGAGUAUUUGGGUGGUAAACCCAUAUGCGGAAUGAAAGUGAAUAGUUGGGACUUCUGUCAUGGAAGGCACCGACGCCCGGACCAGACCUAUUGUGACGGCUCCGAGGUAGAGCAUGUAUGUUGGGACCCGAAAGAUGGUGAACUAUGCCUGAGUAGGGUGAAGCCAGAGGAAACUCUGGUGGAGGCUCGUAGCGAUUCU